UACGUAGGGAGCGAGCGUUGUCCGGAUUUACUGGGUGUAAAGGGUGCGUAGGCGGGACUGCAAGUCAGACGUGAAAUACCGAGGCUUAACUUCGGGGCUGCGUUUGAAACUGUGGUUCUUGAGUGAAGUAGAGGCAGGCGGAAUUCCUAGUGUAGCGGUGAAAUGCGUAGAUAUUAGGAGGAACACCAGUGGCGAAGGCGGCCUGCUGGGCUUUAACUGACGCUGAAGCACGAAAGCAUGGGGAGCAAACAGG
rnacentral:rRNA from 1 species